rnacentral:rRNA from 1 species
GACGAACGCUGGCGGCGUGCUUAACACAUGCAAGUCGAGCGGUAAGGCCCCUUCGGGGUACGACGAGCGGCGAACGGGACGAGUAACACGUGGGUGACCUCGCCCUCCAGCUCUGGGAGUAAGCCUGGGAAACGUGGGUCGUAAUACCGGAUAUGACUCCAUGACGCAUGUCGUGGGGUGGAAAGCCUUGUGCGGCUGGGGAGUGGGCCCGCGGCCUAUCAGCUUGUUGGUGGGGUGAUGGCCUACCAAGGCGACGACGGGUAGCCGGCCUGAGAGGGCGACCGGCCACACUGGGACUGAGACACGGCCCAGACUCCUACGGGAGGCAGCAGUGGGGAAUCUUGCGCAAUGGGCGAAAGCCUGACGCAGCGACGCCGCGUGAGGGAUGACGGCCU